GGCAGUGUAGCAUAGUGGUUAAGGAGCAGGACUCAUAACCCAAAGGUUGCCAGUUCAAUUCCCUGCCAGGGCACUGCUG
rnacentral:tRNA from 1 species